rnacentral:rRNA from 1 species
UACAGAGGGUGCAAGCGUUAAUCGGAAUUACUGGGCGUAAAGCGCGCGUAGGUGGUUUGUUAAGUUGGAUGUGAAAUCCCCGGGCUCAACCUGGGAACUGCAUCUGAUACUGUCAGGCUAGAGUAGGUGAGAGGAAGGUAGAAUCCCAGGUGUAGCGGUGAAAUGCGUAGAGAUCUGGAGGAAUACCGAUGGCGAAGGCAGCCUUCUGGCCUAAUACUGACGCUGAGGUGCGAAAGCAUGGGGAGCAAACAGG